CCUACGGGAGGCAGCAGUGAGGAAUAUUGGUCAAUGGGCGCGAGCCUGAACCAGCCAAGUCGCGUGAGGGAAGACGGUCCGAUGGAUUGUAAACCUCUUUUGUCGGGGAGAAAAAGACGCCACGCGUGGCGUUCCGAGAGUACCCGAAGAAAAAGCAUAGGCUAACUCCGUGCCAGCAGCCGCGGUAGUACGGAGGAGGCGAGCGUUCGCCGGAUUUAUUGGGGUUAAAGGGUGCGCAGGCGGAAGAUCAAGUCAGCGGUAAAAUUGAGAGGCUCAACCUCUUCGAGCCGUUGAAACUGGUUUUCUUGAGUGCGUGAGAGGUAUGCGGACUGCGUGGUGUAGCGGUGAAAUGCAUAGAGAUCGGGAGGAACACCAGUGGCGAAGGCGGCCUGCUGGGCUCUAACUGACGCUGAGGCACGAAAGCGUGGGUAGCAAACAGGAUUAGAUACCCUAGUAGUC
rnacentral:rRNA from 1 species